rnacentral:rRNA from 1 species
AGAGGGUGCAAGCGUUAAUCGGAAUUACUGGGCGUAAAGCGCACGCAGGCGGCUGCAUAAGCCGGUCGUGAAAUCCCCGGGCUUAACCUGGGAAUUGCGAUCGGGACUGUGCGGCUAGAGUGUUGGAGAGGACAGCGGAAUUCCCGGUGUAGCAGUGAAAUGCGUAGAUAUCGGGAGGAACAUCAGUGGCGAAGGCGGCUGUCUGGCCAAACACUGACGCUCAGGUGCGAAAGCGUGGGGAGCAAACAGGAUUAGAUACCCUGGUAGUCCACGCCGUAAACGAUGAGAACUAGACGUCGGAGGGGUCUGCUCUUCGGUGUCGUAGCUAACGCGCUAAGUUCUCCGCCUGGGGAGUACGGCCGCAAGGUUG